CCGCCAUUUGUUGUUGCCUAGAACGCAGUAAAAAUGGGUGUGUGUGUGUGUGUGUGUGUGUGUGUUGUGCCUUCGUGUAAUAACCGAACAGACAGAAAUAAAAAGAGGAAUAAAAAUAAUGAAGAAAAAGCGGAUAAAAAGUGUAAAAUCACCUUUCAUAGAUUUGCAAGAGAUUCAAAGAAACGAAUUUUGUGGAUAAAUAUUUUGAACGUGGAUCCAUCAAAAGUUUCACCUCACGCACUUAUUUGUUGGAGGCAUUUCAAAAAAGAAGACAUUGAUACAUCCGACAUCGUCUCUUGCAACAGUCAGGCUUAGGCCUAAUGCAUUGCCAACUGAACAACAAUGUGAAAAACAACAUUGCCACUUCUCCAGACUUGGAAUUCUAAAAAGAGAAUAUCAGUAAUGAAGCUGAUACUUCUCUAAAUAUUACACAAUAUACUGAACAUACAGAAGUAAUCUAGUAUGAAGAAGAGACUAAUUUCGAUGAAAGUGUUAUCCCACAGCAGCAGGAACAUGUGAACAGCGACAUUAUUACUUCUCUAGAAAGAAAUCCUGUGCAUAAUAAUCAAGUAAUAGAGGCAUCAUGAAGAAGUGUUUCCACACAAUUGACAGCUGCCGUAUCGUACGGCACAUGAGCUGAUUUGGCGAGCCGCGGGCCGCGGGCCGCGGGCCGCGAGCACGCGUCUUGGCCGUUGGACGUUGGACGUUCAGCGUUGGACUUUCGGCAUUCGAGCGUACGUACGUGAGUGUGCCAGACGGUGCUCGCCUGCCGUUGGUCGAGCUGACGGAGCGACAGGGACGUAAGAAUAUAAAUAGUUGUAAAAUUGUUGGAUAUUGGAUAUUUUUUUUUUUUUUUUUUUUGUCGACAUGGAUGUCGAUGUGGAGAAAAAAUGGACAUGGACAUCCGUACUGCACUCGUGAUAGACGGACUGGCGGAGAUGCUGUCGGUGUAUCGGUGCGCCGUAUGACUUGGACACUGCGCGUAUACUUGGCGCGAGACAGUACGGCGGGGUGUCUGUUGAUAGAGGAAAAAGUGAAAAGUGAAAAGUGAAAAGUGAAAAGUGAAAAGUGAAAAGUGAAAACAUUGGUUGAUUGGUGCGUGGGCGACGUAACGCGGCAUUAAGGCAUUAAGGCAUUAAGGCAUUAAGGAGGCAAAUGCGCGCGCGAUGGUAAGGAAAGAAAAGCAGGAAAGAGGAGAAUGAAAGGAAGGGAAGGGAAGGGAAGGGAAGGGAAGGGAAGGGAAGGGAAGGGAGAGAAAAAUGGGAAAAUAAUGGAUUUUGUGUGGCGUGCGGGCGGCCUAACGUGGUGGUAACCGGGAUGAAUGCCGUACUAACGAUAUAAAUAGGCGCAGUAGUAAGGAGGAAAAGUGGGAAAAUUGAGGAAAAGAGGAGGAAAAAUAGAGAUUUGCUUGGUUUGUGCGCCGCAGACUGAUGGGAGUGAAAAAAGCCUGCAGUACGGACUAGAUGGAAAAAAAAAAAAAAAAAAGGAAAUGGUGUGGCAGGGAUUGCGAUAUGGGAGCAGGUAGAUGGAACGAGGAUAGAGAUAGCCUGUGUACGUUUAUUCGGAGUAUGGAGAAGCGACGAGUAUGCGUAUUGAUAGUGGAGCGUGAAGAAGAAUGUAGAAUAGAUUGGAUAGCGAGGAAAGAAGAGGAUGGUGGAGAGUGGAGAGUAGAGAGUGGAGAGGAAGUUUUGGCUGAAGCGUUAUGGAAUGCGGGAGACGGACUGGGCGAAGAGGCGCUUAAGCUAAGGAGCGGGAAUGGCCGUGAUGCUUAUUGCCGCAUUGGACCUAUUGGCUGUUUGCGUGAUAUUUGCAUUGGUUGGUGCGAUGUGGCAAUGGCGACAGAGCGACAUUGCAUGGGAGACGUGGCUGGAAGUACGAUGGAGGUUUAAUAGAAGCCGUGACUGUAAAAUAUUAGCCAGGUGUUAUUAGAAGAGGAUAUUGAUUGGAUGAUCGUUGUAAGGUUGAAUAGGAAUAGGAAUAGGAAUGGGAAUAGGAAUAGGAAUAGGAAUAGGAAUAAAAUAUAGAUUUAUUGCUACUCGUAAGGUUUAGUUGACCGGUUGAGGAUGAGGAAUGGGAGUAGGGAGUAGGAGGAAUUUUGGAAAUUAGUAAAGGAAGAGACGAUGGUAAGGUAAGAUGAUAAAGAGAUGAUGGUUUGGUAUUGCAUGGAAUUAAGCAGGCGGUUAACAAUAUAGUGAGAGGUAAUGAUAAAAGAGAAAAGAGAAAAGAGAAAAGAGAAAAGAAGAAAGAAAAAGGAAAAUGCAGAAAAUGCAGGAAAUGAAGAGAAAAAAUGUAAAUUUUGCUUGGUUUAAGCGCCGCAGGCCGAUGAGCCGAAAAAAAGCGUGGUUUAUUAUAUUAUAGUUUAUUGUUAUAUUUAACCACUGGAAAAUUGAGGGAAGAAAAAAAAAAAAAAUAGAAAUUUGCUCGGUUUGAGCACCGCAGGCCGAUAAUCGGAAAAAAGCCUAGUGUAUUAGCCAUAAAAAAAAAGAAUGGAGAAAAUUAAUUAAAAAAAAAAAAAAAAAAAAUUUGCUUGGUUUGAGCGCCGCAGGCCGAUGAUCAGAAAAAAAGCCUGGUGUACUAACCGUUAAAAAAAAAGGAGAAAUUGAGGAAAGGGAGAGAAAAAAGGAAAAAAAAAAUAGAAAUUUUCUUUGUUCAAGCGCCGCAGGCGGAUGAUUCGAAAAAAAGCCGUGUAUUAACCAUUAAAAAAUUGAGCAAAUUCAGGAAAGUUGGAUAAUUUAAGAAAAAAAAAAAAAAAAAAAAAAAAAAUAAGUACAAAAAGAAACUAAGUACAAUGUAAAAGAUUUGGUUUUCUUUCUUUCGUUAAUAAAGUUGAAUAAAUUAUAAAAAUUUGAAUAUAAUUAUAAAUGUAGUUAGUUCAACUAAUUUACUCAGUUCAACUUGACGUAUAUUUGACUUAUUGUUGAAAAUUAGGAAAAUUAACACUUUUUUGUUACUUUGCGAACAAAUGAGUGAACAGAAAAAAAAAAAAAAAAAAAA